AAUCCAACAAUAAAUAUUGUAGAUCUUCCCAGCUGGCCCUCGUCACUAUUUUGCAUCUGUCUUCUCUGUUUGUUUGUAUAUUUAUAGUAUAAAGUUUUGUUUUUCUAUUUUUUAAGGUCUGCUUUGUUUUGCUUAGGGUGCAGCAAUGGUAGAAGAGGUCAGACACAUGGAGCACAUGGACAGAGAGCAAGAGGAAGAAAACUGUCAGUUAAGCAAAAAAGGUCAAAGACUUCAAACGUCUAAAGGACCAAAAGGAUAAAGAGAAACAGCAGCUACACGAGCACUCCUAUAUAUUUUUCAGCUACUGAAAAGGGAGAACAGAAAGGAGGUUAAGAAACCAAGAGAUGGAGUGUCUUCACAAGCAGCUGAGAGAAGCCACAUUCAGAAUCCAGGAACAAAAUGAAACUUUGGAAAUCUAUAAACAAAAAUACACCACUGCAAUAGCAAAACUUAUUCAGCUGCAAAGACUGGUCACACUGAAGGACAAGGAGGUCCAACGUUUACUGCAAAAGCUACAAGAGUCUGAGUUAACAGCUCAUUCGGUGAAGGAAGAAUGAACUCAAAUGCAGCAAUGAUACCACCAAAAGGUAAAUCAUUGGGAGAGCACGUUGGAAGCUCUUGAGCAGCUGUGGUAGAUGAGCUCCAGGCCAAUCAGAGUUUACUGCAAGAGAGUUGACAAAAAGUGGACCGUUUGAAGAACCACGUUGGAUCAUUGCAAGAGCAGAUGGACUCACUCAAGCAGCAGAGCUGUGCUAAAAAAGAGAAACGCUUCGCUCAGAAUGAAAAGGCUAUUCUUGAGAGGAAGUCGGACCUUGGAAGAAGAACACAAGAGAAAGAGGAUCUGCAGCAGCCCCAUAAACCCAAGACUAACUGCAGUCAGACAGAAAAUAAAGUGAGACAUUUAAAAGAGGAAUCGGCGCGUUUAAAACUGACGCUGGCUGAAAACAAAAAAGUACACAGGACACUCUUCAGUCAAGCAGAGAAACAACUAACAGAAGAGAGUCUGCGAGAAGGAGUAUGGAGUUAGAUUUACAAAGAAGAGAGACACAGAAACAUCAGGAGAAGUUUCUCAGGACUGAGAAGAAAAUGAGGAGUGCUAUCAAAGAAAUCCAGACUCUACCAAUCUAUAAUAAACAGCUGAAGCAACAUCUUCUUGUGCUACACAACCAGCACCAGAUGGCAGUGGAGGAGUUGGCAGUUCGUGCAGAGGAGGCGAGGCGGAUGGAGGGGUGCCUAAAUGAGGGAAAGCUAGCAGAGGAGAAAAUAAGCACUGAAAAGAGGAGUAUUGUCAUUCAAAGGCUCAACAAAACCAAGGACAUGCAUUCCAGACUGCAAAGCAACCUGGAGGCCAUCAGUAUGCUAAAUCAACAAUUAAACAUCCUCUGCAGGGAAAAUAAGCAUUUGCGUAGGCAGCUAGAGGAGGAGAGGUCCAGGCGCAGACAAGUGGAACAAGAGCUUUCACUUCCACCCGCCUCCCAGCACUGCUCGUCCAUCCUCCUCCCAGUCUCCCUCAGUACCCAAUCUCCUCUUAUCUCCGCCUCCUUUUCCUCCACCCUUGGCCUUCCUCAUCUUCUGAGGAGCAAGCCAGCAGGCAGGAGACGCAGAUGAGAUUUAAACUCAAAUCAAGCUAAGUGGACGUGGCGUAGACACAUAAGGUGAGGCUUUAGGUGAAUAGACGUGCGCCGUGUUUGGUCACAGAGGACGAGCGGGCAGCUGGCCAAAUGAAGCCCGUGAAGACUUUGAGCGGUUAUGACUUUUCAACUCUCAGCUCUUCACUGGGGAAUAUACUCAGAAAUAGGUUGAUGUCCUGUAGAUCAAACUCAAGUCCCACGGUUCUAUUUUGUUUUUGUCUUGGGAAAAAUCUUGCAAAAACUGGAAUAUCCAACUAUUAUCAAGACAUUUAUCCCAAUAGAUUCUUUCACACAAUCAGUUGAUUGAAAUGUCUUUAGCACCAACAUAAUCAGUGUGUCAAAAGACAGAUAUGACGGACAGACUUAAAUGUCACAACAACAUAAUAAUCCUCUUUUAAAUGUUUAAAACUUGAGUUUUUAAGCAGAAUAAUCUCAUGUGACGUCACACAAAUUCAACAGGGCGGUGACGCAUUCAGUCACAACAUUCCACAUCCAAAUGGACUUUAAACAUGGUGAAUGACCUUCACAUGACAAGUGACUGAAUGCAAAUUUUCUUAAGGAUUAAAUGUGUCCAGCAGUGGAGAUGAAUUGUUCUUUUUAGAUGAAUGAUGGGCGGAACAUCAUCCCCAGGCUUGGUGCAGAUGUUAAUGUCAACUGCAGCUUCUGAUUAAACUGCAGUCAUACCGUGAAUACGUUAUGCCUUAAAGGUGGAUCCAGGCUUUCUGCAGGUGAAAAAUUAGAAAAUCUGUUUGGGGCGCAAAAUUUUAAGAUCGUAGACAGUCUGGUGAGCCUGUAAGGUGAAAAUGUUCAUGCACACUUUUUUUUUCUAUGGGUAUGUUGCGGCGUCAGAUAAGUAAGGGGGAUGCAGGGAUGGUGUAUAGAGAUUUUUUCUUUUAUUUUGAAAGAAAGCUUCUGUCAAAAGUAAAAAAUGAGAUUUCACUUGAAAAUGCAAGAUUCGUUUGAUAUUUAUGUAUUUAUUCACACCACAAAGAAGUGUAUUAUUCAUAUU